AGCGUACGAUUUUGGCGCUGAGUGAGUGCUAAUGGUGGGCUUGACACAUGCAAGGAAAAAGAUUUAUAAAAAAUAAAAUUUCCAUAAGGGUGAGUAUUAAUCGAUAUUAGCUAGCCUAUGUUAGAAUGAUUUAUCUAAUAAAGUAAAUAAAUAUAUAAAAAAAUGUAAAAGUAUACUAAUGUUUUGACACAUAGGAAUGUAUUGUAAAUGAUAAGGUAGUAGGGUUAAGUUAAAAGUUUACCUAGCCGGUGACCGGUACCAGGACUGAGAGGGUAAACUGGCACAGCGGGGGAGAAAUGACCCGAACGUUACGGCGGCAGCAGUGAGGGAUUUUGGACAAGGUUUAAUGCACGAUCCAGUUAUGCCGUGUGGGUUCAGGCUUUAUGUGUUUUAAUUUCUUGGAAAUUAAAACACAUAAAAGUUCUUAGAAGGCUGUGUCGAAAGGCUAGUGAAAUAAUGAUAAUAGUGAUAGUAAUUAUUGGAAAGGGCUGUCUAACUUCGUGCCAGCAGUCGCGGUAACACGGAGGGCCCAAGUGCUACUCAUCUUGAUUGGGUGUAAAGGGAAGUAAAACGGUUCACAAAGUUUUGAGUAAAUCACUCGGGUUGAUCUGAGGAUAACUCUUUAAACUCGUGGUCUGUGUAUUUUUUUGAGGCGCGUCGCAUUAUAUAUUUAGAGGUACAAUUCUAAGAUUUAUAAGACGAUCAACCGGAGCAAUCGGCGUGCUGUGAUAAAAUAGACGUUAGUUAUCGAAAGCGUAGGGAGCGAAAAGGAUUAGAGACCCUUGUAGUCUAUGCUGUGACCGAUGGAUAUUUGAUGUUGGGCAUCUUUUAAAUUUAUUUUAAGUAGAGUUGCACUGAUAUUGAAGCUUACGUGUAAAUAUCUCACCUGGGGAAAUAUGGUCGCAAGAUGUAAACCUAAGAAAAUUGGCGGAGUGUAUUACCAGCAGUGGAUCAUGUUGAUUAAUCUGAUGAUCCGCGCUUAACCUUACCAAACCUAGACAAAACAGCCCCUUCUUUUAGGGGUUGAGUUUUAUUUUUAAAAGUAGUAAGUUUCUCUUUAAUAUUAAAAUAUUAAGAAAAAACUCUAGUUCCAGGUGUUGCAUGGCCGCCGUCAGCUCGUGUAGUGAUAUGUCGCCUUAACUGGAUAAACGGGCGUAACCCAUGGGAUAGAGUGAAAAUAAGAAUAGGAUUCAGCAAGUCAUGCAAUAUGAAAAUUAGUAAUGGAUGACGACUGGUCGUCAUGGCCUUAAUGGUUUGGGCCUCAAAUGUGAUACAACGGUUGGUACAGAUAGAUGCUAUUUAUAAGUGAAUGGGCGCUAGUCUUAAAAAACCAAUCUCUGGUUCGAAUUAGUCCCUGAAAUAGGAGUAUGAAGGUGGAAUUGCUAGUAAUCGCGGGUCAUCACAUCGCGGUGAAUACUUGCCUGCGCUCGUACAUACCGCCCGUGGCCCAGCGAAAAUUGGGGUGGCUGGACGUAUAUUUUCUAAA
rnacentral:rRNA from 1 species